AUUGAACGCUGGCGGCAGGCCUAACACAUGCAAGUCGAACGAGUGGCGGAGGGGCGAGUAAUGGCUGGGAAACUGCCUGAUGGAGGGGGAUAACUAGUGGAAACGGUAGCUAAUACUGCAUACCACCAGAUGUGGCGAGAUGGGAUUAGCUAGUGGGUGGGGUAACGGCUCACCAAGGCGACGAUCCCUAGCUGGUCUGAGAGGAUGACCAGCCACACUGGAACUGAGACACGGUCCAGACUCCUACGGGAGGCAGCAGUGGGGAAUAUUGCACAAUGGGCGCAAGCCUGAUGCAGCCACGCCGCGUGUAUGAAGAAGGCCUUCGGGUUGUAAAGUACUUUCAGCGGGGAGGCGUUACCCGCAGAAGAAGCACCGGCUAACUCCGUGCCAGCCGCCGCGGUAAUAC
rnacentral:rRNA from 1 species